AAAAAAAAACAACAACAAAAGCUCAGUUCUCUCUAUCUGAUGCAAGCCAGUACAUAGGUAAAGGUUAAGUCACCUUUUGGAACUGGUCCUAAUGGGAUGUUCCUUGUUUUUCCCAAAACAAGGCACAGUAACUUUUCGCCUGGAUGGUUUUGGGUCGAGGUGGGGAAGGACAGGAGGGCAGAAAUGUGGGUGCACCCCCUCAGCCAAACCUCGGCCACCUCACUGCUUUUUUUUUUUCCCCCCAGGAAAUCUCCUCCCAGUGUCCCACUUGCUGAAAUAUUGCUCAAGAAGUUGGGUAAAACUACAACAGGCAGGGGGAGAGGGCACAGCUGGAGGUGGAGCAGAGGCAGCGGCUGCUCCUGCUCAGACCACGACCCGUGAGCAGAG